AGCUCAGCAGGGACGGGUGAACCACACUGACAUCCUUGUACAAUGCAGCCAGUGGUCCUGUGAGAAGAAAAGUACAGACUCGCCCUUCAGAGACUCGCCUGUAACAGAUGUGAAGAGAGGCAGAAGACUGCUGUUGUGGCAAAGUGCUAAAUGUGGAAGACGUUUUUUCUGAACAGGCAUCUAGUCUCAUUUUGUCCUGGAUUUGGGAAAUACACAAUUCUUGGCUUGCAUCUGAAGGAACGCUUUCCCACUGAUCUCUGCGCUGCUCAAUAUUUCAGAAGAACACUGUGUUUAACUUCGCUGUCUCUCUAAACCCAUCACACUCAUCUCUGUUCACCUCGCCUUUGAGCAGAGCCUGAGGUUUAUGCUGCACCGAGGCUGAUUUAAUCUACAAUCACUGACCCGAAAAACCAGCUAGAGUAAAGAUUUCACUCUGACUUUUAUUAUUUCCCCAUCAACUUUCCAAACAUUCUUUAUUGAGUCUGUUUCCAGUGACAAAAGCUUUUCACAAUUAUGAAUAGGAGCCUUGCACUCAAAAUCAUGUUUUUCACUAGCCAAGAAUUUGUCAAACUUUAUUGUUCUCAAACACCGGUGGUGUGCACUGGUGAUUUAGUGCUCUUACAUGAAGCAGUCGACCCACAGGAGGCAGAUCAAUGCCCAAAAUCAAAGCCAGCCUUACUGUUAGUCCUCGUGCAAGACCAUGCUUCUGGCAGCAAAUCCUAAAAUCUGAAACCUCACUGGUCACACACUUCCUGUCAGACUUACUACACAAGGCGAAUUACUGUCCACAGUGUUCCUAUAUGCUAAUUAACCAACACAGAAGCAGCCAGUUCAUUUCAAUAA